GAAAUGCGCUAAGUAAUGUGAAUUGCAGAAUUCAGUGAAUCAUCGAAUCUUUGAACGCACAUUGCGCCCGCCAGUAUUCUGGCGGGCAUGCCUGUUCGAGCGUCAUUUCAACCAUCAAGCUCCACGCUUGCGUUGGGGGCCUGCGGCUGCCGCAGCCCCCUAAAAGCAGUGGCGGGCUCGCUGUCAUUCCGAGCGCAGUAGUUACAGCUCGCUCCGGGCGUGGCGGCGGGGAUAUGCCGUGAAACACUCCUUAUAACGUUGACCUCGGAUCAGGUAGGAAUACCCGCUGAACUUAA
rnacentral:misc_RNA from 1 species